rnacentral:rRNA from 1 species
AUACGAAGGUCCCAAGCGUUAUUCGGAAUCACUGGGCGUAAAGAGUACGUAGGCGGUUUGGUAAGUCAGGUGUGAAAUCCCGGAGCUCGACUCCGGAACUGCAUCCGAUACUGCCAGACUUGAGUAAUGGAGAGGCAGAUGGAAUUCUCGGUGUAGCAGUGAAAUGCGUGGAUAUCGAGAGGAAGACCAAUGGCGAAGGCAGCCUGCUGGACAUUUACUGACGCUGAGGUACGAAGGCUAGGGGAGCGAAAGGGAUUAGAAACCCCAGUAGUCC